GGGAGGGGAUUGUCCUGCUUUGCUCUGCUCUGCACUGGGGUGGCCUCGCCUCGAGAGCUGUGGACAGUUUUGGGUAUCACAAUGUAAGAAAGAUAAGAAAUUAUUAGAUAGAGUCCAAAGGAGGGCUGGAAAGAUGGGAAUGGCCUUGAGGGGAAGCCAUAUGAGGAACACCUGAGGUUUCCUGUUUUGUUCAGCCUGGAGAAGAUGAGACUGAGGGGAGAUCUCAUUGAAGUUACAGCUUCCUUGUGAGGGGAAGAGAGGGGGCAGGCACUGAUCUCUUCUCUGUGGUGACCAGUGACAGGACUCAAACCUGAAGCUGAGUCAGGGGACGUUUAGUUGGAUAUCAGGAAAUAUCCUGUGAUUUGGCAUUGGAAGAGGCCCCUCAGGGAAGUGCUCAGAGCACCGGCCUGAAGAGCUCAAGAAGCACUUAGACAAUAUUCUUGGGCCCAGAGGCAUUAACCCUCGACCAAGCCUGGAGCCAGGAGUGGAUCCAGUCACACUUACAAUCCUCUCUGAGAAGGAAUUUGGAAAGCAAGGAUGUCCUUUCUGUACAACAAUGGGAGGGUCUUCUUGGCAGUUUUGUCUGGUCCUGUCUUCUGUGCAAUCUCAUCAGUGGAUAUGCCAUUUGGAUAUCAAGGCUAAAGUGCCAUCAAAAUUAUCACCAAAAAAAAAAUUCAUCCAGCAUAAAUAUUUGUACCUUUUCAAAAACAAGAUAACAAUCAUACCUGAGACACUAGCAACCAAUUUGGGAGCAGACAAUCCCAAUCCCGGUCACCAGAGAGAGGAGUGAUCAAUGCCUGUCCCUCCCCUUCGCCUCGCAAGGAAGGUGCAACUGCAGUGAGGUCUCCCCUCAGACUCCUCUUCUCCAGGCUGGACAGACCAGGAGUUGAGCUGUGGCUGCACCAGUGCAAAGAGAAUAAGGACAAUCACCUCCCUCAGUUGGCUGAGCCUGAUAAACCCCAGGACACAGCUGGCCCUCCUGGAUGUGAGGGCACACAGGUGGAAUCUAGCUUGUUUGUUUUCUUCAUCAUUAUGUCACUGUGAACUCAAAUAUUUUUGAUAACUAUCCAAGCUUUUUCACUUUUUCACUUUGGUAUUCCUUAUUGGUGAACAGGGACUUUUGGAACCCUUAAAGGGAGGCGACUCUUUCCAGUGUUUGCCUUUAAACUGUCUCAAACCAAUACUAUGAGUUAAACUUUAAAACAUCUCAUAGAAUCCAUUCUGUCAUUUUAUUUCAUUUUUAAUUAUUUUUCUGCCCUUGUAUUAUAUGUAGUUUUAUUCAUCAUAAUUUUUAAAGGAAAUAUGGUGUUCUUAAAGAAGUUAAAUAUAUACCCUGCAAAGUAUUUUUUAUCUUGUAUAAAAGCCAGUAAAUGAGAAAUUGCAAAAUAAGCUUGAGAGUAUGAAAAUACUUAUUUUCAUAUAUUAUGCAAAUAUGGAAUAAAACAGAAGUAUUAAAAACUCCUGAAAAAUGUAUGGAAAAGUGGCUUAAAGUGAUAAUUCUGUAUGUUGACUGACUUGCCAUUUUCAGUGCAGACGUUGUAAUGCAUAGAGUGCUGCGGGGAAGGAGUGAGUUUUGCCUUAUUUGGUUUAGGUAUAUGAGUCAGAAAGGCUUUCCUUUAAGGAGUAUGCAUUCUAAUUUCUUUUUUUUUUAAGCAGAAGUUUUCUGGAUAUAGAAAAUAAUGCUGAAAUUAGGGCAUAUUAUUCAGAUACAUGCUGGAGGAAAUUAGGAGCUCAUAAGGCAGAUAAUGUUAUCAUAUUCUUGUUGUCAUGGACACAUGGCCAAGAUUGUUAAAACUGAAAAAAGACUUUUUCUUUUUCUUUUGAAACUCCUGUUUUUCCAGAACCCUGAUCAUAUUUUUGGAAGCUAUCUUGAUAUUUAUGGGAUUAAUAAUACAGAGCACCUCUUAAAUAAAGAGAAGAUACCUUAAAUCUAAUGCAUAUGUCUCCAGUCAUAAUGUUAAAUUAUGCUUGUGUGUCUUUGUUGUUUGCAAUGCUAUAUCCUCCUUUAUAACUUUUUUGUGAACAGCUUUUCUCUUUUAAGUGAUUGCCCAGCAUCAUGCAGACUAUGCUGUAUAU